ACUCAAAUGAAUAGACGGGGACCCGCACAAGCAGUGGAGCGCCUGGUUUAAUUCGAUGAUCAGCGAAAAAUCUCACCUGGGCUUGAACUGUAGCUGCAACGCCGGUGAAAGCCGGAAGCCGUAAUAGGGUGCUACAGAGGUGCUGCAUGGCUGUCGUCAGCUCGUGUCGUGAGAUGUAGGGUUAAGUCCCACAACGAGCGCAACCCCUACCUAGUGUUAUAUAUUUCUCUAGGAACCGCCCUGCCCAAACGGGGAGGAAGGAGGGGACGACGUCCAGUCAUCAUGUCCCUUAUGUCCAGGGCUACACAGACGCUACAAUGGCCAGUACAAUGGGCUGCCAAGUCGCAAGACGGAGCUAAUCCCAUCAAAACUGGUCUCAGUUCAGAUUGUAGGCUGGAACUCGCCUGCAUGAAGUCGGAAUUGCUAGUAAUCGCGUAUCAGAAUGGCGCGGUGAAUACGUUCUCGGGUCUUGCACACACCGCCCGU
rnacentral:rRNA from 1 species